UACGUAGGGGGCAAGCGUUGUCCGGAAUCAUUGGGCGUAAAGCGCGUGUAGGCGGCCCGAUAAGUCCGCUGUGAAAGUCCAGGGCUCAACCCUGGGAUGCCGGUGGAUACUGUCGGGCUCGAGUCCGGAAGAGGCGAGUGGAAUUCCUGGUGUAGCGGUGAAAUGCGCAGAUAUCGGGAGGAACACCAGUGGCGAAGGCGGCCCCCUGGGCCGCUCCUGACGCUGAGACGCGAAGGCCAGGGUAGCGAACGGG
rnacentral:rRNA from 1 species